rnacentral:rRNA from 1 species
UUCCGGUUGAUCCUGCCGGACCUGACUGCUAUCGGAUUGAUACUAAGCCAUGCGAGUCAUUGUAGUAAUACAAGGCAGACGGCUCAGUAACGCGUAGUCAACCUACCUUAUGGACGGGGAUAACCUCGGGAAACUGAGAAUAAUACCCGAUAGAACAUUAUGCCUGGAAUGGUUUAUGUUUCAAAUAAUUUAUUGCCGUAGGAUGGGACUGCGGCCUAUCAGUUUGUUGGUGAGGUAAUGGCCCACCAAGACUAUUACAGGUACGGGCUCUGAGAGGAGUAGCCCGGAGAUGGGUACUGAGACACGGACCCAGGCCCUAUGGGGCGCAGCAGGCGAGAAAACUUUGCAAUGUGCGAAAGCACGACAAGGUUAAUCCGAGUGGUUUCUGCUAAAGGAACCUUUUGUCAGUCCUAGAAACACUGAUGAAUAAGGGGUGGGCAAGUUCUGGUGUCAGCCGCCGCGGUAAAACCAGCACCUCAAGUGGUCAGGAUGAUUAUUGGGCCUAAAGCAUCCGUAGCCUGUUCUAUAAGUUUCCGGUUAAAUCCAUUAGCUCAACUGAUGGGCCGCCGGAAAAACUGCAAAGCUAGGGAGUGGGAGAGGUAGACGGUACUCGGUAGGAAGGGGUAAAAUCCUUUGAUCUAUUGAUGACCACCUGUGGCGAAGGCGGUCUACCAGAACACGUCCGACGGUGAGGGAUGAAAGCUGGGGGAGCAAACCGGAUUAGAUACCCGGGUAGUCCCAGCUGUAAACGAUGCAGACUCGGUGAUGCCCUGGCUUGUGGCCAGUGCAGUGCCGCAGGAAGCCGUUAAGUUUGCCGCCUGGGAAGUACGUACGCAAGUAUGAAACUUAAAAGGAAUUGGCGGGGGAGCACACAAAGGGGUGAAGCCUGCGGUUCAAUUGGAUUCAACGCCGGGA